CAUUACUGCCGAGGGCACGUGUGUGUAACGCGAUCAUUUCGUCGCCUGAUGCUCAUAUUGCGCAUUGGUGGAACGUGAAUAUUUGCGCGUAGAUACUUGAAACGUACUAGGAAUUAUUGAUUUUAAACGUCGCUGCUUCUUGUAGAUAUUGCUUCGUGUAGAUAUUUUCAGUUGAAUAUCACAAACAUGGAAAACGGUCAGAAGGAAACGAAAACCGAGGGCACAAAUAGCGUCGCUGAAGAGGCCGUUGACGAAGUUACCGCUGAUAAGGUUAAGAACGCUACGCCGAUUGCCGGCGAUUCGAAAGACGCAAAAGAAGAGACCGAUAUAAAAGAAGCAGAUAAUGUAAAAGAGAACGACAUGAAAGAGGAAGAAUCCGCAGAAAUUUCCGCAGAAAUUUCGCAGAAGAUAAAGGAACAAGUAGAGUAUUACUUUGGCAAUGUGAAUAUGCAAAAGGACAAGUUUCUUAUAGAGCAAACAAAGCUAGACGAUGGCUGGAUCCCAAUGACUAUCAUGUUGAACUUUAAACAGCUAACAAAUCUUAGCAAAAGUGUCGAUGUAAUACUGAAAGCUCUGGAAGAUAGUGAUCUUAUGGAUAUAUCUGAAGAUAGAAAGAAGAUUCGGCGUUCACCUAAACAUCCACUACCAGAAUAUAACGAAGAGUAUAGGAAAGCCCAAGAGGCUAAGACAGUUUAUGUUAAGGGAUUCCCACAAACAAAUAUGAAUAUUGAAAAGUUGAAAACAUUCUUUGCCCCAUAUAAACCAUUUGAGACAAUUGUGAUGAGAAAAUACCAAGAUAAAGAAAAAAAUCUGAAGUUUAAAGGAUCCAUUUUUGUACAAUUUCAAACUUUAGAUGUUGCUAAAGCUUUCAUGACUGUUGAAUCCGUGAAGUAUAAUGAUGUUGAAUUAAUAAGAAAAUGGGCUGCGGAUUACGCAGUGGAGAAGGCACAGGAAAAGGAGGAACGUAGAAGGAAAAAAACAGAUAAUAAGUCCAAGAAAGGAAGUGCGGAACAGGAAGACAAAGAUGAAGAAACAGAUUCAACACCCGCUGUGACAGAAAUUAAAUUGCCAAGAGGUUCAGUUAUUUAUUUCUCUGGUGUUUCUAAAACUUGUAUCAGAGAAGAUGUCAAAGAACGUUUAGAAGAACUGAAUGCUGAGGUCGCGUAUAUUGACUUCCAAAGGGGCAAUACGGAAGGAUGGAUCCGUCUCCAGGGAGAAAAUGCUGCUAAGCCUGUGUUGGAAAAAAUGGAUGAUAACAAAGUGACAAUUAACAACUCGGAGGUCACUUGCAGAAUACUCGAGGGCGAAGAAGAAGAAAAGUACCUCAUUAAAGUGACUGAGGAGAUGACGGCUGCGAAAAACAAGCACAAUAAAGGAAAACGUAGCGGUAAAAAAGGUCGUAACGCGCGAGGUGGAAAGAAGAGGGGCAACAGUCCUGUUCGCGAUGCAGCUCCUGCUAAGAAGGGUAAGAUCGCCGAGUAAGAUUGCGAGGUCUCCGCGAGGACUCUCCGUGGGGACUUCGAAACUAAUGAUACUUCAUCGAGCAAAUCAACGAGGCCCGCUCCAUGAUGAUCUGACGAGAACCUGAGGAGAAUAAACGACAUUAUUCAAACGACGUGAUAAAAAGCGUUAUUAAUAAAAGCAUAAAAGGCA
rnacentral:misc_RNA from 1 species